rnacentral:rRNA from 1 species
CCUACGGGAGGCAGCAGUCGGGAAUUUUGGGCAAUGGGCGAAAGCCUGACCCAGCAACGCCGCGUGAAGGAUGAAAUCCCUCGGGAUGUAAACUUCGCAAGAACGGGAAGAAUAAGUAGGGGACAAUACCCCCUAUGAUGACGGUACCGUCUGUAAGCUCCGGCUAACUCCGUGCCAGCAGCCGCGGUAAUACGGGGGGAGCAAGCGUUGUUCGGAUUUACUGGGCGUAAAGGGCGCGUAGGCGGCCAGCACAAGUCAGUUGUGAAAUCUCCGAGCUUAACUCGGAAAGGUCAACUGAUACUGUGCGGCUAGAGUGCAGAAGGGGCAACUGGAAUUCUUGGUGUAGCGGUGAAAUGCGUAGAUAUCAAGAGGAACACCUGCGGCGAAGGCGGGUUGCUGGGCUGACACUGACGCUGAGGCGCGAAAGCCAGGGGAGCGAACGGGAUUAGAUACCCCGGUAGUCCUGGCCUUAAACGAUGAAUGCUUGGUGUCUGGGGUUAUAAAGUCCCUGGGUGCCGUCGCUAACGCUUUAAGCAUUCCGCCUGGGGAGUACGGUCGCAAGACUGAAACUCAAAGGAAUUGACGG